GUGAGGAAUAUUGCGCAAUGGGGGAAACCCUGACGCAGCAACGCCGCGUGGGUGAAGAAGGCCUUCGGGUCGUAAAGCCCUUUCGGACGGGACGAACGCUCCGCGGUGACAACCCGCGGAGUCUGACGGUACCGUAAGAAGAAGCACCGGCUAACUCCGUGCCAGCAGCCGCGGUAAUACGGAGGGUGCAAGCGUUGUUCGGAAUUACUGGGCGUAAAGCGCGUGUAGGCGGCCUUGCAAGCCAGACGUGAAAGCCCUCGGCUUAACCGGGGAAGUGCGUCUGGAACUGCUCGGCUCGAGUACGGGAGAGGGAGGCGGAAUUCCCAGUGUAGAGGUGAAAUUCGUAGAUAUUGGGAGGAACACCGGUGGCGAAAGCGGCCUCCUGGACCGAUACUGACGCUGAGACGCGAAAGCGUGGGGAGCAAACAGGAUUAGAUACCCGAGUAGUCC
rnacentral:rRNA from 1 species